rnacentral:rRNA from 1 species
GACGAACGCUGGCGGCGUGCCUAAUACAUGCAAGUAGAACGCUGAAGGAGGAGCUUGCUUCUCUGGAUGAGUUGCGAACGGGUGAGUAACGCGUAGGUAACCUGCCUGGUAGCGGGGGAUAACUAUUGGAAACGAUAGCUAAUACCGCAUAAGAGUAGAUGUUGCAUGACAUUUGCUUAAAAGGUGCAAUUGCAUCACUACCAGAUGGACCUGCGUUGUAUUAGCUAGUUGGUGAGGUAACGGCUCACCAAGGCGACGAUACAUAGCCGACCUGAGAGGGUGAUCGGCCACACUGGGACUGAGACACGGCCCAGACUCCUACGGGAGGCAGCAGUAGGGAAUCUUCGGCAAUGGACGGAAGUCUGUCCGAGCAACGCCGCGUGAGUGAAGAAGGUUUUCGGAUCGUAAAGCUCUGUUGUAAGAGAAGAACGAGUGUGAGAGUGGAAAGUUCACACUGUGACGGUAUCCUACCAGAAAGGA